rnacentral:rRNA from 1 species
UACGGGAGUGGCAAGCGUUAUCCGGAAUUAUUGGGCGUAAAGCGUCCGCAGGCGGCCUUGUAAGUCUGUCGUCAAAGCGUGGAGCUUAACUCCAUUUAAGCGAUGGAAACUGCAAGGCUAGAGUGUGGUAGGGGCAGAGGGAAUUCCCGGUGUAGCGGUGAAAUGCGUAGAUAUCGGGAAGAACACCAGUGGCGAAGGCGCUCUGCUGGGCCAUAACUGACGCUCAUGGACGAAAGCCAGGGGAGCGAAAGGGAUUAGAUACCCCUGUAGUCCUGGCCGUAAACGAUGAACACUAGGUGUCGGGGGAAUCGACCCCCUCGGUGUCGUAGCCAACGCGUUAAGUGUUCCGCCUGGGGAGUACGCACGCAAGUGUG